AGAUAAAUAGAAGAUAAAACUUAAACUUUUUUGUUUGUCAAUUGUUAAAACUAUUUGCAUAUAUUCUUAUCAUAAAGUUAAAAAUUAAAACUAAAUGUAAAUUUGGAUAGAAAUGUCAAAAGGAUUCAGGAUCCUCCAUCUGUGCCUUUCCUUUCUCUCUUGAUCACUUCUUCAUUCAUUUAGUUUUCCUAAAAGCAAGUAACUUUUAGCAGCCUAUGUUUUCAGGUCACUUCUUCAUUCAUUUAGUUUUCCUAAAAGCAAGUAACUUUUAGCAGCCUAUGUUUUCAGGUGUCCCAAAAAUGUAGCAAAUAUCUUUGUCCAUCCAAGUCAUAAGGCAACAAUGAAAAAGCUAAUAAUUUCUCAUACGUGGCUAAUAAAGAUCAUAAAGUUGAUUAAAGUAUAUCUCAAAAGAAAACAAAAUAGAA
rnacentral:lncRNA from 1 species